rnacentral:rRNA from 1 species
AUUGAACGCUGGCGGCAGGCCUAACACAUGCAAGUCGAGCGGGGUUUUCGGACCUAGCGGCGGACGGGUGAGUAAUGCGUAGGAAGCUACCCGAUAGAGGGGGAUACCAGUUGGAAACGACUGUUAAUACCGCAUAAUGUCUACGGACCAAAGUGUGGGACCUUCGGGCCACAUGCUAUCGGAUGCGCCUACGUGGGAUUAGCUAGUUGGUGAGGUAAUGGCUCACCAAGGCGACGAUCUCUAGCUGGUUUGAGAGGAUGAUCAGCCACACUGGAACUGAGACACGGACCAGACGCCUACGGGAGGCAGGAGUGGGGAAUAUUGGACAAUGGGCGCAAGCCUGAGACAGCCAGGCCGCGUGUGUGAAGAAGGCCUGCGGGUUGUAAAGCACUUUCAGCGGGGAGGAAGUUGAUUGGGUUAAGAGCCUGAUUGAUUGACGAUACCUGCAGAAGAAGCACCGGCUAACUCUGUGCCAGCCGCCGCGGUAAGGC